rnacentral:rRNA from 1 species
GAUGAACGCUGGCGGCGUGCUUAACACAUGCAAGUCGAACGGAAAGGCCAUUCCUUUGUCUGGUGCUCGAGUGGCGAACGGGUGAGUAACACGUGAGUGACCUGCCCUGGACUUUGGGAUAACUUCAGGAAACUGGGUCUAAUACCGGAUAGGAGCAUGUGCUGCAUGGCGGGGGGGGGAGAGUUUCGGCGGUGGGGGAUGGACUCGGGGCUUAAGAGCUUGGUGGGGGGGUAGUGGCAUACCAAGGUCUUGGGGGGGACGCGGCCUGAGAGGGUGCCCGGCCCCCUGGGGACUGAGAUAGGGCCCAGUCUCCUACGGGGGACAGCAGGGGGGAAUAUUGCACAGUGGGCGGGCGCCUUGUGCAGCAGCGCCGCGUGCGGGAUGAGCGUCUGCGGGGUGUAAACCGCUUUCGCCUGAGACGAAGCGUGAGUGACGGUAACGGGUGAAGAAGCACCGGCUAACUACGUG